rnacentral:rRNA from 1 species
UACGUAGGGGGGCAAGCGUUGUCCGGAAUCAUUGGGCGUAAAGCGCGCGUAGGCGGCCCGGUAAGUCCGUUGUGAAAGUCAAAGGCUCAACCUUUGAACGCCGAUGGAUACUGCCGGGCUAGAGUCCGGAAGAGGCGAGUGGAAUUCCUGGUGUAGCGGUGGAAUGCGCAGAUAUCAGGAGGAACACCAAUAGCGAAGGCAGCUCGCUGGGACGGUACUGACGCUGAGGCGCGAAAGCGUGGGGAGCGAACAGG